UACAGAGGUCCCAAGCGUUGUUCGGAUUCACUGGGCGUAAAGGGUGCGUAGGUGGUCGGGUAAGUCUGAUGUGAAAUCUCCGAGCUCAACUCGGAAAUGGCAUUGGAUACUAUUCGGCUAGAGGAGUGGAGGGGGGACUGGAAUACUUGGUGUAGCAGUGAAAUGCGUAGAUAUCAAGUGGAACACCAGUGGCGAAGGCGAGUCCCUGGACAGUUCCUGACACUGAGGCACGAAAGCUAGGGGAGCAAACAGG
rnacentral:rRNA from 1 species